rnacentral:lncRNA from 1 species
GGAAGAAAGAGAGGUACUAGGUACAGCAGCCAGUGUUGGCAUUUUGUCUAGGCUCAGCCCCAUAGUAACCUGGCAAUGGCCAUGUGUGCCUGACUCACUAUGAAAGGGGCUGCCUAUCCCUCACCCUUGCUCUCUUCUUCUCUUGUCCUUGCUCCCUUACCUUCUUCCCCUCUCUCUCCAUCCCCUCCCCCCUCUCUAUCUUUCUCUCUCUCUGCCUUUCUCCAUCUCUACUCCCUCAACUCCUCUCCCCAUGCUGUAAAUAAACUCUAUUCUAUACUAUGCCAUCCUGUGGCUGGCACCUCAGGGGGAAGAGGUGCCUCAGCCUGGGCCUGCAGAGGCACCCCCUCCUCCACAACCUACCACACCUCCAGCAAACAUAUCCCUGCCUUCCUCUCUUUCUUUUUAUAAGAAAAUAGCAACGAGGAGAGACAAAGGGAUCUGAUAACCAAAAAUGGUUGACUCCCCUGUGGAAGUAUAGCUGGGGAAAGGCGGGCCAGCCCUGAGCUGGAGAAUUCAGGGUAGGGAGCACGGAGAACCUAGUGCUCCUG